CCUUGGCUCUGACAUGUGAUCCUCGCUACAGGAAGGACGCGGCGAGCGCGCCGUCCCCCGGGGCUGCUGCCUCGACCUUGUGGGAAGAGAGCACUCAUUGCUGGAGGUCUUGCCGAAGAACCUCAUGGAAAAUUGUGUGUUGCCUGCCUGGAAUUCCCUGCCUGGUGCCAACGCGGUGUAUAUUUAAAGGAGUGUCACACCCGGCCAUCGAGGGCUUCAUCGCAGCCCAGGGCAAAGGUUUGGCCGGGGGAAAUGAAGCAGGAGCUGGUUUACACCUAUUGGGAUGUUCCACCACUGACCUGCGCCGCCGAUCCCCGCUGCCACGGCGAGCAUCACCCCGCUGCUCUUCCUCCCUUUGCUCAUUUGGAAGACGGGGGUAAUAAUCCCCAUCACCUAUUUGCGAGGCUGUUGUGAAUUUUCAUGAGCUCCCAUCUGAACGGGGCUUUGAGCAGGAAAACUGCUGUAUCAGCUCUAGGCAAUGAUAAACAAUACUCAGCAUUUA